GGGAAGGGGGCCAUCGCCUUGCGGUUGGGCCAGAGUAGGGGUGAGCUGGAUGUCGCUGAUAACACGUCGGGCCUGCUACUAUUCUAGGCUUAGGGUUUGCUAUUUGAUUGGUGGCUGCGGCGGCGGCGGAGUUGGCGGGGAAGAGGGAGGUGGCGACGUGACGGGGUCGUGGCACGACGGUGCCCAGCUCUAUGUGUCGCUCAAGAUGGAGAACGCGCGGAUCAUUGGUGACCUUGUGCCGCACAUCUACGGCUCUGAGCCCAUCAUCUGCUCAUGAGAACCUGCUCGCGUCCUCGCGAUGGAAAGGGAACUGGCGUCCAUGCGGGAGCUCAGCUUAGUUGUGUUGCCGGACCAUGGCAUGCACGCUACAUACCUACUGCCUAACUAAACUGAACUGCUUAGUGUUAUACUCUCAAGUUGCCUUUCAGUAAACUAAAAACCUUUAGGAUUUUGUGUUUUCAUAUACUAUUCUUUUGCACGGGUUUGUUUGCCUCAAUUGGCUGCUCAAAUGUAUGAUUCACUUUCGCAAACGUUGUCGUAAACUACCACACAUGUGCAUUGUUUCUAACAAUUUUGAUCUAUGGAAUUUACUGCAGAAACACUUGACUUCAAAUUCUUGCUCAAGCCCAAGGACGCGGAGACCCCGUGCAUCACUGAGGAACGGCCGACGCGGCUCCUCACCAGGGGCAUGCUCCAGGGUGAUGUGAGGCUUGCAAACUUCAGGCUUAAUGGAGAUGAUCAGUUGCUUGAGUAUAAAUGAAUCACCCACUCAUGGCGACCGAGGUCGACUUGUGAUAUGACAAGCGGAUCACGGUGUCACGGAAUGAGCAAUUAGAGAAGAGUGUUUUCACCUAAGGCGGGGUGAGAUUUUAUGUUCAUCUUGGUUGUAUUUUAAAAUGAGAUUUAGC